rnacentral:rRNA from 1 species
AUUGAACGCUGGCGGCAUGCUUUACACAUGCAAGUCGAACGGGCCGGGGGCAACUCCGGUCAGUGGCGAACGGGUGAGUAAUACAUCGGAACGUACCCCGUAGUGGGGGAUAACUCGGCGAAAGCCGUGCUAAUACCGCAUAUGCUCUACGGAGGAAAGCAGGGGACCGCAAGGCCUUGUGCUAUGGGAGCGGCCGAUGUCCGAUUAGCUUGUUGGUGGGGUAAUGGCCUACCAAGGCGACGAUCGGUAGCUGGUCUGAGAGGAUGAUCAGCCACACUGGGACUGAGACACGGCCCAGACUCCUACGGGAGGCAGCAGUGGGGAAUUUUGGACAAUGGGGGCAACCCUGAUCCAGCCAUGCCGCGUGCGGGAAGAAGGCCUUCGGGUUGUAAACCGCUUUUGGUCGGGAAGAAAAGGCGCACGUUAAUACCGUGCGUUCUUGACGGUACCGGCAGAAUAAGCACCGGCUAACUACGUGCCAGCCGCCGCUGUAAAAC